AGAAAUCUAAGAGCACAGGGUGGAUGCCUUGGCUGUAGAAAGCGAUGAAGGACGUGGAAUAUCUGCGAUAAGUUUCGGGGAGGUGAUAAUCAACCUUUGAUCCGGAAAUUUCCGAAUGAGGAAACUCACUAAGCGUUAGCUUAGUACUGUAGACAAGAAGCUACAGAGCGAACGGGGGGAAGUGAAACAUCUCAGUACCCCUAGGAAUAGAAAACAAUAGUUAUUUCCUUAGUAGCGGCGAGCGAAACGGAAGGAGCCCAAACCAGAAUAAUUCUUUUUAAGUUUUAUUGUGGGGUUGUAGGAUGCUAACGUCUUUACGAGGACAGUUACAAAUUGUGUGGUUAGUCGAAUGAGAUUGAAAGCUCAUCCAAAGAGGGUGCCAGACCCGUAGACGAAAAUUACACAACUGUUUUGUUAGUAUUCCUGAGUACCUCAAGACACGAGUAGCUUGGGGGAAUCUGCCAGAACUAACUGGUAAGGCUAAAUAUUUCUACAGACCGAUAGUGAACUAGUACCGUGAGGGAAAGGUGAAAAGAACCCCGGAAGGGGAGUGAAAUAGAUCUGAAACCCUGUGUUUACAAGGAGUCGAAGAGGACUUGAUCCUCGACGGCGUGCCUAUUGAAGAAUGAGCCAACGAGUCUAUAUAUGCAGCAAGCUAAGGGGGUGAAGCCCCGGAGCUAGAGGGAAACCGAGUGUUAAUAGCGCGAAAUAAAUGUUGUAUGUAUAGGACCCGAAACCAAGUGAUCUUUCCAUGUGCAGGGUGAACCCUUGAGAAAUCAAGGGGGAGGCCCGAACCGGGUGGUCGUGCAAUUCCAUCGGAUGACGUGUGGAAAGCAGUGAAAAGCUAAUCGAACUUGGUAAUAGCUGGUUCUCUCCGAAAUAGCUUUAGGGUUAGCGUUACGUGUUCCCUCUGGGGGUAGAGCACUGAUUAGAUCUUGGAUAGCCCUAACGGGCGCCAGACUUGUCAAACUCCAAAUACCAGAGAUUAAUAACGUAGCAGUUAGACUACGGGCGCGAAGGUCCGUUGGUCAAAAGGGAAACAGCCCAGAUCUCCAAAUAAGGUCCCAAAAUAUACACUCAGUGCACUUAAGGAGGUGAAAUUUCUCCGACAAUCAGGAGGUUGGCUUAGAAGCAGCCAUCCUUUAAAGAUAGCGUAACAGCUCACUGAUCUAGAGAUUUUGCGCCGCAAAUAAUCGGGGCUAAGUGUAUUACCGAAUUUGAGGACUGUACUUUUAGUACAGUGGUAGGAGAGCGUUCCUCUCUGCGUUGAAGCCAAAGGUGUGAGCCAUGGUGGAGCGUGAGGAAGUGAGAAUGUUGGCACAAGUAACCGCAACAGGGGUGAGAUCCCCCUGCGCCGAAAGAAUAAGGUUUCCGUGGCUAUGAUGAUCAUCCACGGGUUAGUCGGUCCUAAGCCAAUGGCAAACGCCGAAGGUGAUGGACACAUGGUUAAUAUUCCAUGACUAUUAUAUGCUGCGAUGGAGUGACAUAGGACAUAUACAAGAGCGAAUUAUUGGAUUUUCGUUGUUGGUGGUAGAUGCGUAACUUAGGAAAAUCCGGGUUACACAAGCAUCAAAACAGACAAAAUUGAUAUCUACGGAUUGAGAAAUUUUUGUUAAGAGCCUAUCGAGAAAAACUUCUAAGCAUAAGCAUGUGAUAUCCGUACCGCAAACCGACACAGGUAUUCAGGUCGAGUAGACCAAGGCGAACGAGUGAGAGGUCCUUAAGGAACUCGGCAAAAUAGCGACCGUAACUUCGGAAUAAGGUCCGCCCCCCACUACUUUGGAUAGUUUAUCUAUUUCAAAAGUGGGAUUGCCGUUUUUAUUAUUAUUUUCUUUGAAAAUAAGUAAUAAAACCAAAAGGUUUUAAAAAGCAAAUUGAAUGAGAAAAUGAGAUAGAAACGACUCUCUAUUACUUUGAUCAAAGUAUCUAAAGUAGUGGGGGGCCGCAGCGAAAGAUCCCUGGCAACUGUUUAUCAAAAACACAGCUCCCUGCGAACUCGUAAGAGGAUGUAUAGGGGGUGACGCCUGACCAAUGUCAGAAGGUUAAAUGCGGACGGUGUAUGCAACUUUGUUGUAUAUGCUGAGCUGUAUAAGCCCUGAUCAAUGUCGGCCGUAACUAUAACGGUCCUAAGGUUCCCCAUAUCAUUAAUAUGGUAUGGGGAAUGACUGGGACGGUUAUAGGGUAUAAACAGACGCAAGCUGCCUUACUCUUUGGUAACAAAGAGAUUAGUCAAAAACAUUGCGAUAUGCGGAAAAAUCUUCAAAAGAUUUUAGUACUCGUUGUAUUCAUACAGCAGUAACAAUCUAAAAUACACGGAGAAAAUUCGCAGGCAACCUAGCAAUAGGAGCCUCAGAGACGAUGUGCAAUGUAUCCAAUAUCUAACUAUUCAUAAACAUAUGAACAUACAUCCUCAAUGGAUUUCAGGUUUUGUAGAUGGUGAAGGUACCUUUUAUGUAGGUAUCAACCAAAACGAAACCAUGAAGCAUGGUUUUCAAGUAUUACCAGAAUUCAGGAUUGUACAACAUAAACGUGAUGUUGCUUUACUUCAUGCCAUUAAAAAAUAUUUUAAGGCAGGUGUAGUAAGAGUAAAUCAUGGUGAUAGGUACGAGCUUAGAAUUAGAAAAUUUGAAGCGUUAAAAGAUAUUAUUAUUCCUUUUUUUGAACAACAUUCAUUGAGAACACAAAAAAGAAUUGAUUUUAUUAAAUUCAGAAAAGUGAUUCAAUGUAUGGAUAAUAAAGAACAUCUUAGUAAAGAUGGUCUUGCUAAAAUAUUUUCAAUUAUUGAAGAUAUGAAUACAGCAAAUAAAGAAAUUACAAGAAAUAUGUUAUUGGAUAAAGAUAUCGUCCGAUCUUCAUUGAGAAAUGAAGAGUAAUAUAAAAAUAGUUAUAUUCAACAGUAAUGAGCGAAAUUCCUUGUCUGGUAAGUUCAGACGUGCACGAAUGGCGUAAUGACUGGGGAACUGUCUCAAGGACUUGCUCGGUGAAAAUGCAAUUCCGGUAAAGAUGCCGGAUACCUGCAGUUAGACGAAAAGACCCUAGGAGCUUUACUAUAGCUUCAUAUUGGACUUAUUAAAUAUAUGCGCAGCAUAGGUGGGAGACUUUGAUGCAACCCUUUUGGGGGUUGUUGAGUCGCCAGUGAAAUACCACCCUUAUGUUUGAUAAGUCCUAACCCUUACGGAAAAAACGUAAAGAGACAGUGUGUGGCGGGUAGUUUGAGUGGGGCGCUUUCCUCAACUUUAGCGUCACAGCUUAUCGCAAAUAUCUUCCGUAGAUAAGCAAAAACAAAAAAAGGGGGCCUUUCUUAGUAAUAAGAAAGAGUACAUUGAGCUAUAUGCUGGAACGUCUGGGAAUUAUGAUGACUAUAUUUUCUUAGUUUGGAAAAAUAUGGCAAAUCAUCAUACGUUCACAUAGGUAACUAUGUGUAGCAGAUAAUCAGCAGGGAAGUUAGUAUACCUAUACUAACCCCUCAGAGACUAUACGCUUAACAUCCAUAGCAAUAUGGAUGGUGAUAGAGUCCGAUCUUGGUGGCGACAUCAAGUAUUAAAACAGGCAAUUUAUUUACACGUUUUAAUAAUCAACAUUUAUAUGACAAACAAAACUCCUACUUCGUCUUCUUCUACUAAACUUUCAAAGCGUCAGCGAGAAAUAUUAGUAGGACUUCUUCUAGGUGAUGGUCACUUAGAAACUCAAAAUCAAGGACGUACCUACCGACUUAAGGUAGAACACUCUUUGAAACAAAAAGAUUAUACCUUUUGGUUAUAUCAAGAGUUUCGUGACUUCAUUCCAGGAAAAGUAUAUACAAGAAAACGAGGUAAUUAUGAGGUUGUAGGUUUUAGAACCAUUUCGCAUCCUACGUUUAGAUUUUAUGGACAGCAAUUUUAUCCAGAAGGUAAAAAAGUUAUCCCUAAUACUAUUCACAAGAUGUUAAAACCAUUAUCACUUGCCAUUUGGUUCUGUGAUGAUGGUUCAAGAAAAUCUAUAAAACAUUCAACCUUCAAUAUCCAUAGUCUCGGAUAUACCAAAAGAGACUUGCAAAGGGUUCAGGAAGUGAUGAAAUCAACCUUAAAAAUUGAGACAACACUUCAUAAACAGGGAAAACAACAUCGAAUCUAUAUUCCACAAAGAAGUGCAACAUUGUUUGCAUCAAUAGUGAAUCCUAUAGUUCGACUGUUUCCCUCAAUGAACCAAAAAUUAGUUGAUAACAAUAUGCCUAAAGAGUAACGGAGGAGCAUACAAAGGUUCGUUAGGCGCGAAUGGAAAUCGUGCUGAUAGUGUAAUGGCAUAAACGAGCUUAACUGCGAGUCGUACAUGACAAGCAGAUGCGAAAGCAGAUCAUAGUGAACCGACAGUGGCCAUUAGAUGGCGCUGAAGAUUAACGGAUAAAAGCUACCCUAGGGAUAACAGGCUAGUAUCGCCCAAGAGUUCAUAUCGACGGCGAUGUUCGGCACCUCGAUGUCGGCUCAUCUUAUCCUGGGGCUGGAGAAGGUCCCAAGGGUUUGGCUGUUCGCCAAUUAAAAAGGUACGCGAGCUGGGUUCAGACCGUCGAGCACUGAAAUAAUAUUUCAAUGCUCGACCAAUCUGAAUCCUUCAGACAUAACAGAUACAAACAAUCAAGGUAAUUUCGUCUUUCAAGAAAUAUCAAUCUAACUUACGGCGGUGUGUCAUAGCAAUAUGGCAUAUUAAGUCAACUAAUAUCGGUGAAACCCUAUUCGUGUGAAUUUACCACGAAGGGCAAUACCGAGGGAAUCUUUUAUAUAAAGGAGCCCGUAGAGACUGAACGUUGACUUACCUCUUUUGAGGUAAAAGCUACAGUCCAUUCCACACAGUAAUGUGUGAAAAGAAGCGUAAGACAGGUUGGUCUCUAUCUACUGCAGGCGUUGAUUCUUGAGAAGAUCUGCCCCUAGUACGAGAGGACCGGGGUGGACUGACCUCUGGUCUAUCGGCUGUCACGCCAGUGGCACUGUCGAGUAGCUAUGUCGGGAAUGGAUAACCUCUGAAAGCAUCUAAGAGGGAAGCCAACUUCAAGAUGAGGAAUCAUAGGGCCCUAGGAGAUGACUAGGUUGAUAGGUUUUAAGUGGAAGCACAGCAAUGUGUUGAGCUGAGAAAUACUAAUUGCCCAUAUCU
rnacentral:rRNA from 1 species